AUAUAAAAUGCAAAAGAAUUAUUUGUUAAACAGAAAUCUGAUUUUAGUCUCAAAUAAUUAAAACCAAAUUCCAAUUGCUAAUUAUUUUUUACAUUCAAAGCAUUAUAUAAGUCGUCUUGACAAUCUUUGGUUCUAACGUUCCUUUCAAAAUUUUAGAACGAGGAAAAGAGAUUACUGAGAGCAAAACGAAACCAAAUAAUUUACGAAUGAAAAACGAGGGUUUUCGCUAAAUAAACUGCAAGAACUACUUUCCGCUAUAGUCAUAAUAAAAAAAGACAUGUACAGUUUGUAAAAUGCAAAGCUGAAACAAUUUAUAUAUUUGUUGUCCUGAUUUCCCACGAAAUAUUUUUAUGAUGUGGGGACAGAACUCGAGUCGCAUGAGCCGCGAUCGUGCCAGUCGCAGUAAUUCAAAAUCCAAACUGAACUCGACAGUGCCUAUUUUACCAUCUUCACCAAUGGUGACAAGACGUAGACAUGAUAUAAACAGCUCUUUUAUAACGAACCAAAAUGGUGCAAUGCACGGGCUUGGGACUUCCAGUAAAAAUGCGCCAUCUGGAACUGGACCGUUAUUGUCAUCGCCUUUUAUGCCACAGAUUAAAAGAGCUCUUGGUUUGGAACCAAAACUACAGAAUAGAUAUGGUGAGCAGAGGCGACAUAGUUUUGGUAUUGGGACGACUGCAAAGUCACCAACUGUUGCAGCAGGGUCAUUGCCACAUGUGAGAUUAAGCAAAACAAGGAGGCUGUCACUUUCAGAAAGAAAUUCUUCGAUGUUGAAUAAAUCAAGUACUGUGAAAAUAGCUCCACCUGUUAUUGGGAAAGUUGCCAGCCCUAGUCUGUAUCAUAUGAGGUGUAAUUCAUCAAUACAAGAAGACAGGGGUACUCCGGACACAUAUGCUGUCAUAUCUGCACUAAAAGAAAGAAGAAAAAGAUCUAUAAAUACAUUUGAAGAGCACACAGAGCCGCCCCAGCAGCAGGCUAAAAGAAGGCGACAGGAGAGUCAACAUUCUAAUGCAUCCACAUCAUCGAUGCCUUCAAUGCCUGAAAACUUCCCUGAUCUUUCUAAUGCUGACUUCAGUAUGAGGCUUGAUACACCGGGUUUAAAAAGGCCGUCAAGGCCAAGACAGGAGGAUAUAGAGGAGUGGAACAAUAUGAACAGUUCAAAACAACAUCAUCAUGAGGGUAGAAAUAACUCUAUUUUGAGCAGUCUUAGUUCCAGUCAGAGGUUUAUAGAAAAUCAGAAGUCCAAAGAAAGGCGGAGUCUAGUUUUCAUGAAAAGGAGAAUGACAGCUAUGUUGCUAAGUCUCAGAAAAAAGAACCUCCCAAGCUCACACACCUGGAUGUACAGUAUAACAUUGAUAACACUGCAAAGACAUCAGCUAUCCCGCAAGUGAAAGAAAAGUCUCCACAGAUGACCAAUGGUCACUCAACCUCAAUCUCGAAGAAAGGAGAAGAAGCAGAGAAGACAAGUCAGUCCAUGAAGACAGUUGAACCAUCAAAACCUCCUGUGCUACCGAAGAUGCCGUCUAUGAAGAAAACCGCCAGUAUAUACUCUGGACUGAGUUCACCUGCAAGCUUCAAAAAG
rnacentral:misc_RNA from 1 species